UAGAGACAGAGAUAUUCACACAGAGAUCAUUCAGCAGAAAGAAGACUGAACUCAACUCACAAUGAAGAUCCUCCUCAUCUUCCUCACUUUCUACCUGAUCUCAGCUGCAGUGAGAUGCUUUAGCGUCACGGGAUAUUCUGGAAGAAGUGUUCUGGUGGAUUCUGGGAAACCUUGGUCCAGUAACUCUGCUAAAUAUAUGGCUUAAUUACCUGAGUGGAGAAGAAUAAUAAAUGAUAAGAAACACGAUAAAUGGAUUAAUGAAGGACGAUUCACACUUUAUCGAAACAGUGAGGGAAACCUCAUGAUCUUCAUCAGAGAAAUAAAAACACAAGAUGCUGGAAGAUACAGGAUUGAGGUUAAUGGCGAAUGGUUCAUUGAUAUGACUUUGGAUGUGGAAGAAGGUUCAUGUUGUAAAGUGUCAAGGAGAGUGAUGGUGAAUGUUGGAGAAACUGCCAGUUUCAGCUGUGAAUAUUCACAGAAUCAUAAAAAUGACUCCAAAAUCAUAUUCAAAGAAAGAAAAGACUCCAUUGAGAUGAUUUACAGCAGAUGGAAGAAGAAAGAAAGAUUGAGUUUUUCUGAUGACAAACAUAAAAACAUCUUCAGUGUGAGAAUGACUGCUGUGACACCAGAUGAUGGAGGAGUUUAUUUAUGUGGAGUUUGGAUCUACAGACAAUCAUACAGUUACUCCAUUAUUAAUACUGU